GUGGGGAAUUUUGGACAAUGGGCGCAAGCCUGAUCCAGCAAUGCCGCGUGCAGGAAGAAGGCCUUCGGGUUGUAAACUGCUUUUGUACGGAACGAAACGGUCCGGGUUAAUACCCUGGGCUAAUGACGGUACCGUAAGAAUAAGCACCGGCUAACUACGUGCCAGCAGCCGCGGUAAUACAGAGGGUGCAAGCGUUAAUCGGAAUUACUGGGCGUAAAGCGUGCGCAGGCGGUGCUGUAAGACAGGCGUGAAAUCCCCGGGCUCAACCUGGGAAUUGCGCUUGUGACUGCAGUGCUGGAGUGCGGCAGAGGGGGAUGGAAUUCCGCGUGUAGCAGUGAAAUGCGUAGAUAUGCGGAGGAACACCGAUGGCGAAGGCAAUCCCCUGGGCCUGCACUGACGCUCAUGCACGAAAGCGUGGGGAGCAAACAGGAUUAGAUACCCUGGUAGUCC
rnacentral:rRNA from 1 species